GGUGGACAUAGGCUCUUGCACUCCCGCACGUGUUCAGUUAAUUGCCUUGGAGUGCUGCUAAGCUGCGAGCUUUUAAAUACCUCACAGAUGGCUCAGGAAGAUCCACUGGUCACUUGGCUCUCUCUUUGACUCUUUGUCCCUAUCAGUGCGGACACAAUUCCGCGACCUCCCAUCACUCCUGGCUCCCAUUGACAGUCUAAAGCACGACUGCUCUCUGGACAGUGCGCCUGUGUAGGCGGUGAGGCUGAUGACCGCGGGUUCUCCAGGCUGUGCUCGCGUCUUUUAGCUGUUCCAGGGUGCCGUGUUCAGAACUGCUCUGACUAGCCAUCAUCAGCACUCUGGGGCCAGAGUGCUAUUUCUGCUGCGUCACAGUCAGACUUGUGAACACUAAUCAAAAUAGGGCAAUAGUGAAUCUGGGAAAUUUUUGCAAUCUAAAAGCAGUCCUAAGCUCUCAUGGGACAAAUUAGAAGGUUAGAACAUCCCCAGCCUCUCGCUUACCCUCAAGAGAUGGAAAAAGAAGACGAAACAAAGAAGAAUUCAUUCUGGGCCCAGCAGAGUGUCGACGAGAAGGCUGCAUAAAUUAAAUAAAUUCGUUACAGAACA